CGGACGGGUGAGUAACGCGUGGGUAACCUGCCUCAUACAGGGGGAUAACAGUUAGAAAUGACUGCUAAUACCGCAUAAGACCACAGCACCGCAUGGUGCAGGGGUAAAAACUCCGGUGGUAUGAGAUGGACCCGUGUCUGAUUAGGUAGUUGGUGGGGUAACGGCCUACCAAGCCGACGAUCAGUAGCCGACCUGAGAGGAUGAACGGCCACACUGGAACUGAGACACGGUCCAG
rnacentral:rRNA from 1 species